rnacentral:rRNA from 1 species
UACGUAGGGUGCGAGCGUUGUCCGGAAUUAUUGGGCGUAAAGAGCUCGUAGGCGGUUUGUUGCGUCGGCCGUGAAAACUCAGGGCUUAACUCUGAGCCUGCGGUCGAUACGGGCAGACUUGAGUUCGGUAGGGGAGACUGGAAUUCCUGGUGUAGCGGUGAAAUGCGCAGAUAUCAGGAGGAACACCGGUGGCGAAGGCGGGUCUCUGGGCCGAUACUGACGCUGAGGAGUGAAAGCGUGGGGAGCAAACAGG